rnacentral:sRNA from 1 species
GCCAGGUGUGGUGGCGCACACCUGUAAUCCCAGCAACUCAGGAGGCUGAAGCAAAAGGAUUAUGGGUUUGAGGCCAGCCUUAGCAACUUAGUGAGGCCUUAAGCAACUUAGCAAGAUCUUGUCUCAA